rnacentral:tRNA from 1 species
UGUUCUGUGGCUUAGUUGGUUAAAGCGUUGGUCUAGCGAACACGCGAAGUCGUGGGUUCAAAUCUCACCAGAACGU